ensembl:lncRNA
AUAAUAAGCACUAUGUGCCCCCUUUAUCAUCAUCAAAUAUGUCAUGAUUUUGUACCCUUCUACACAGGUGCAGCUGGAGCAUGAAGUCAGUGGAAAUGCAAUGCCUCAAAUCUUGCUAGAAUUCAGUAGCAAAUCUGUCACAGAACUGUUGGAAGUACAUGGAAUCUGGACUGUCACACAGAAAAAGGUGUCUGCAGCUACAGGUUUUCACCACAAGUUUCACCUUGGGUCAAGCCAGAGCUGAUUGAACUUGCACCACAAAAUAAGUGGAUGCUGUCACACAGUCUCGUUCAAGGGAGAAUCCAGCUGGUGUCAUACAGGAAGAGCUGUUGUUCCUCUGGGGAAUAAGGAAUAGCUCAAAAGCUGAAAAGCUGCAGUGACCUAAGGCUGGACUGAAUGUGGUGGAAAGUAAAUGGAAGAACCAAAGGAAAGGAAAGGAAGAAAUCUGGACUUUUCAAGUUAUAUGCUCUUGUAUGAGCCAAGCUGGAGGCCAAGGGACUUCCAUGUCCUGGUUGGGACAAAACCUUGCAAGACAAGAGGUCUGGAGUGUGGGUCUAAGAGGAGCCUUCCCGAGCAGGAGUUGUGGGCAGGGGAAAAGGAGUACUCUGGGCUCCCAGAGAGGACAUGGUGUGCCAGCUCCAAAGAAAGAGACUGCAGCUGCCCUCCUGCUAAGACCUACUGACAACCACAUGUUUGGUGGGAUGUGAAGUUCCAUGCCAUUUACACUAAUAACAGCCUCCAGCUUGCCUGACAAUUUGUAAGAAUGGGUACUUCCAGACUUCCUCUAAACCAACAAAUUUGAGCAGAGACCCUUAGAUUGUGUGUUAAAAACUAAAUGUUUAAUUUGAUUUCAUCUUUAAAGAAAACAUACCUUGUCAUCAGAUGUGACAUGUUCUUUGAAGCUAUUACUUCAGUAAUGUUAAUCUAUCAAUCUUUUUAAAUGAGGCAUGCAUUGUAAAGAGAGGGAUAACUCAUUAAAUGAAAAGCUAUAGCUGCAAGAAAUGGACUGGCUUCUAAUAAGCAAGUUUGUUCUUUUUUUCCAUGCAUUGUAAAAAAGCCCUCUGUGCAAACAUAGGUGCUUCUAUAUCCACCACAACUAUUACUAGUCUUCUUUGGAGUACCUUUGCAAUUAAUUCCAUCUUAACUACUUUUGAGUUAGGAAACUAUUCUAGCUAGUGUUUCUCUCUGAGAUAAAUCUCUGGGAGGAUUUGAAUUAUCAAUUAUCUGUGACCAUAUGGUCAGAAAACAGUUUUUUUUUGUGGUGUUUUGUUAUUUUUUUCAGUUGAUUGACUGUGCAGCUUUUCAAACCCACAGGAUUCUUGAUAUAGCAAGUCAAGCUAUAUGACUUCAUACUAUAUAAAAAAGUAGUAGUCCAUACUGUUUUAGUCAUACUGAUACAAUUCAUCAUAUGCUUAGUUUUAAACUGAGACAUGACUCUUCUUAACAGUUAUCCUGGAAUUAGAAAAGUAUUUUACUUUGCUCCCAGUAUACACAUUAAAAUUUAUGUCUUUAAAAUGUUAGUAGUAUAAUUACAUUUGUACAACCUUUCUGCCUUAUUUCUUUAAUCAAUAAAUCUAGUCUGACCUGUACA